GGCAGAUUCUCUACUUUGAGCCAUUCUGUGUGCAGUGCCCUACCCAGUAAGGUACUGAUCACUUACUUAGACUACAUGUGAUCAGUGCCUGUCUGGGUGGAGUAAUGCUCUACAAGAACAACGUUUGGGAGGGUCUUCAGACU
ensembl:miRNA